rnacentral:sRNA from 1 species
UAUGAUAACUUAUUAAACCGUUUCGAAGGGGAUGAAAUCAAUCAUGGGUACGAUCGUCUGUCAGCAAUGUGAAAACACAAUUGACCACUUCGAAGAUGAAAAAGUGACAACUCUUUACGCUAAAUGCUGUGAUUCUUGUGAGCAUGAAGAAGUAGAAAAAUAAUUUUCACAUUAUUAAAUUGUUA